GCCUGGGGACUACGGUCGCAAGACUAAAACUCAAAGGAAUUGACGGGGACCCGCACAAGCGGUGGAGCAUGUGGUUUAAUUCGAUGCAACGCGAAAAACCUUACCACUCCUUGACAUGGAGAUUAGAUCCUUCUUAACAGAAGGGCGCAGUUCGGCUGGAUCUCGCACAGGUGCUGCAUGGCUGUCGUCAGCUCGUGUCGUGAGAUGUUGGGUUAAGUCCCGCAACGAGCGUAACCCUCAUCCUUAGUUGCCAGCGGGUAAGCCGGGCACUUUAAGGAAACUGCCGGUGGUAAACCGGAGGAAGGUGGGGAUGAUGUCAAGUCAGCACGGCCCUUAUGGGGUGGGCUACACACGUGCUACAAUGGUGACUACAAUAGGUUGCAAUGUCGCAAGGCUGAGCUAAUCCGUAAAAGUCAUCUCAGUUCGGAUUGUCCUCUGCAACUCGAGGGCAUGAAGUCGGAAUCGCUAGUAAUCGUGGAUCAGCAUGCCACGGUGAAUACGUUCUCGGGUCUUGUACACACUGCCCGUCACGCCAUGGGAAUUGGCUUAACUCGAAGCUGGUGCGCUAACCGAAAGGAAGCAGCAAUUAAUAUU
rnacentral:rRNA from 1 species